CUCACCCAUCCCCUUUGAUAUCUUGAGGCUUAUUCAAAGGGGUAUAAUUUCUCCUAACCCACAUAUGUGUCAUCUGGCCAAUAAAGUUCUAAGGUUGGAACUCCUUUCAACUACUGAUAAUUGUAACUAGAAAAGACAAACCGUGAUUCCUGUACUUCUAAAGAUCUCAAGAUCUAGAUUACUGUGAAAGAAGUCUCCAGUGAGACUUAGCCAUAACUUGAAAGAUGGAAAAUGAAUACAAGAAAAUUAUUCUACUGGAGGAAUUAUGUGUCAUCAAUGAUUAUUCCUUUAAAAUACUUAAGAAUUUCCUGGCCCAUGAUUUACAAUUGACAAGAAAAAUGGAGGAAGAAUAUGACAGAAUUAAGAUUGUUGACUUGAUGGAAGAAAAGUUCCAAGGUGCUGCCUAUAGAAUGCUUAAAAGAGCAAAGUUAAAAGUUGCAAAGGAUAUUGAAGAAAAAAGAACUCUAAUAAAAAGCAGCAAACAAGAUAGAACAGGUCCUGCAAUGUCUACAUUCACCACACAAGAAGGUCAGGAGGAAAGCGAGAGAGGUCCAGCAUCCACACCAGUGAAUGAGAACACAGCAGUGUGAUAUUAUCUACCGCUCCAAUCUGUUUCAUGCUUUUGCUUGCUAAUCCAUGAUUGUUUCUUCAACACACCAUGCUCCUUUCUUCUUCAGAGUUUUAAACACCACGUGUCUCUUAACUGGAAAUUUUUUAAUUUGAUAAAACCUAUCCACCUUUGGAUCCCAAUAUUGAUAUCUUUCCAGAAGGAAUCCUUUCUGAGACCCCAUGCGGACUAUGUGAAAACUUUAUGGUAUUCAAUUUGGAAGUCCUUUAUGGUUUACUUUUUACCACUUAUGACUACUGUAGUUAAUAAAUGUUUGUAUACCCCUCUUGACUAUGAGCUCCAAGCGUGGGGCAACCUUGUUGACCUUGUGAACCAAUGUAACCUAGUGCCCAGUUUUUUGCCUGCCUCACAGGAGGCUCUCAAUAAAUAUGUUUACUUAAUGCAAUAAUGAAAACUGAGUACUAUAAUAUGAAUCAGUGUAGCUAAUGAAGGAUAAGAUGCAGAUCAUUAAAUCCAGUAAAGCAGGUGAUAUCAAUAUGGAGGCUCAAAGGAUGCAAAAACAAACAUAAAAGGAGAUGGAAGAGGGAGAGGAGUUGAGGAGUCGGAAAAAUAUAGGUAGAGGGAAGACCAUACAAGACCCAUACACCAAUGCCUGAAAAGGAAAGGAAAUAUUUGCAUGUCUGUUUACUUUUAUUAGAUUGUACUGUUCUCAAUAGUGGAAUUCUAGUCUUUUAGUGUAUCUCCCAUCAGUGGCAUUCUAAUAACGCAUGAAAACUCAAAUGAGUCUUAUAUCACAUGGAGAGGUUUUGAUUUUCUCGUCUUCUUUUUCUCUGACUACACACUGAAUGAGAAGGAUUAUGGCCCUAGAAGGAAAAACAAAAACAAACUUAUUGCCAUAGAGUCCAUUCCGACUCAUAGCAAUCCUACAGGACAGAGUACAAUGCCCUAUAGGGUUUCCAAAGAGCAGCUGGUAAUUCAAACUGCCAACCUUUUGAUUAGCAGCCAAACACUUAACCACUGUGCCACCAGGGCUCUGAAGGAAAACCAUACUACCAUAAACAAUGUCUGUCUCUCCCCCUCUCUCUGUCUCAGUCUUUCUUCCUCUCUCUCUCCUUUGCACUCUAUCUACACCACUAAAACAUGAUUAUUUUAAAAACUAGAAAAAUGUUUAUAACCAACCAGUCAAGCAAUGUUAACUUUUAAUUUCUUGAAACCCUGCCAUCCAGGUAUUACCAAUUUUUCUCCAUAUUCUUUUCGAUAUUGGUCUUCAUAAGUAAAUUUAUAAUUUUCCAGAACUGAUUUCAUACAAUGAUCAAUAUUCUAUCACUUGUUUUAUUAAUUUAACAUACCAGGACUAUAUUUCCAAAAUAUCCCCGGCAUAGUAGAGAUAACCUUUGACGUUUGUGUUUUGGUGUUUUUGGUGGUCGACUUUCAUUUUCAAUACUACUGAAGAUUUUCACUCUUUUAAUUUUCUUUGGCCAUUUAAAUUGUUACAGGGUAUAUUUGAACUUGCGUUUUAUUGUAAUCUGUCACUUAAGUCAUUUCAGGACAAUGCUCUCAUAAUCUACCACUCUAUGUUUCUGUAACCGAAGAUUAUAGUUUACUUCUAAAAGAUCAUUCUGUUUAAACUAGAGUGUUCUAACUUCUAUGCCUGUUGUGUUCUACCUUAAUCCCCCUAGCUAAAUUACACCAGUGCAUUAUCAAUUACUUCCUGCUAAGCAAUCCUUCUCUAACCUAGCCCUAGGUGCAAAUAUCUCCGAAGGUUGAUGGGUCCCAAUGCUGUCAUUGAGGUUUGUCUCAUUUGGAAGUGACUACGUAUUCCCUGCUCAAAUUUUAAGUUUAUUUUCCCGUGUCUCUCAAACACAGAAUCAGAAACAGUAGGCCAGACUUCAAACAGCUACCAAAAGAAAUUUUCUCCAAAAGGGCCCAGUGGUAGUUCUGGUACUGAAAACUAUAGAACCGUUUGAAUAUGAGUCUCCAAGAGAGGGUAAAAACACAAUGUUUCAUGCUACAGUGGCUACCCAGAUUAAAUUCUUCUAAGUGAAAGUUUUCAACACCAACCUGAAGGAGAAGUUCACCCCAAGUAGGGUCAUUGCCUUAACAGAUUAUUUUGAAUGCAAAGGAAUAUUGGAGAUAAAUGAAGCAUCAUCUGUACAUGAUCAAAAGAUUGAGGUCACAACCAGAAUUAUCAAAAGAGCAACAGAAAAUCCCGAAAUUGAUAAUCUUCAAAAACAAGCAACAGAAACAUUAGUCUAUGGGUUGUUUAUGUUACAUAAGGCAAUUUCUUAGAAUUGUUUUUUAAAUUUUCUCUGCCAAUACCUAAAAGUAAAUCUCUAAACUUGCCAAGUACAGCAUUGCCUAGCGACUGAACAUUGGAAACCAAAUUCUUUUUUAAAAUAUUCACUAACACCUUGGCGUUUGCCAAUGAUUUCAUCUCUUUGAGUUCCAUCCAAACUGUAUAAAUCAUUUCAGAUUGCAUUUUGAUAAAUUUAUUUUAAAAAAUUGAUUGACCUACCAAGCUUGAAAUCUGUAUGUGAGAUGUUAUUACAGCAAUAGAUUGGCUGGUUUCUAGGAAUAAAAUACAUUGAACAGUUAUGGAUAUGAUCUAAGCCUUCAGUGCUGUCUCUUCUAAUUUAUUCAUUUAUUCACUUAUUCAGAAAGAGAUUAUUCUCUUAUUCAUGAUUAAUCUCUUAUUCAUGAAUUGAUUAUUGAACCGAGAAAUAUGGAACUGGAUGAUAUUGGAAGUUAAG